GACGAACGCUGGCGGCGCGCUUAACACAUGCAAGUCGAACGGAAAGGCCUGCUUUCCCUUGUGGAUUGCGGGUACUCGAGUGGCGAACGGGUGAGUAACACGUGAGUGAUCUGCCCCCAACUUGGGUAUAAGCCUGGGAAACUGGGUCUAAUUCCCGAUAGGACUGCAGGGUGGUGCCUGUGGUGGAAAACGAUUUUCUAGUGGUUGAGGAUGAGCUCGCGGCCUAUCAGCUUGUUGGUGGGGUAAUGGCCUACCAAGGCGGCGACGGGUAGCCGGCCUGAGAGGGUGGACGGUCACAUUGGGACUGAGAUACGGCCCAGACUCCUACGGGAGGCAGCAGUGGGGAAUAUUGCACAAUGGGCGGAAGCCUGAUGCAGCGACGCCGCGUGGGGGAUGACGGCCUUCGGGUUGUAAACUCCUUUCGACCGCGAGGAAGCCACCUGGUUGGAAGGGUGGUGACGGUAGUGGUAGAAGAAGCACCGGCUAACUACGUG
rnacentral:rRNA from 1 species